UACAGAGGGUGCGAGCGUUGUUCGGAAUUACUGGGCGUAAAGCGCGCGCAGGCGGCCUUUUAAGUCUGACGGUGAAAUGCCGGGGCUCAACCCCGUGCCCGCCGGAGAUACUGGGAGCUGGAGACGAGUAGAGGCAAGCGGAAUCCGGGUGAGCGGUGGAAUGCGUAGAGAUCCGGAAGAACACCGGAGGCGAAGGCGGCUGCUGGCGUC
rnacentral:rRNA from 1 species